UUGUGAAUAGGUACCUGAUUCAGACUUCUGCUCCUAUCUGGGGCUCUUGGAGGGAGGCCCUACUGCAGAAAUUUGACUGGAAAAGAAUUAAAAAUAUCUGAGCGCAGGAAAGGUAUUUGAAAGCUUGUAAUGCUUGUCAUCUCUCGGAAACAGGACUUUUUUUUUUUUUUUUUGCCAUUGACUGUUUAGUUUGUGAUAAGCUUGGUAGAAUUGGAGCUGCCAGGAUUUUAAAAACUCAUUUUAAUAAUGCUUUAAAGUCCUCGGUUUCAACUCCCAUGGCCAAACUAACAAGCUUUUACAGUAUUUAUUAUGUCCAAUACAUCACUCGUUCUAUGAAAGACGGGACAGGCUGGAAGCAGUGUCAUAGCUGUCAGCAGUUCUCUCAGUGUAUAUGAACUUCCUUGUCCCAGGAUGCUACAAAGAGGACUUUGACAAAGGAAGAGGCCCAGACAGGUCAAAUCCACAGGGAUCUCCAACUUGUGAAGAAAACAAAAACCAAACCCACUCCUGAAUCAGUCCCACACCUACCACACAAACUACCUACACCUACUGUUAAUUGCACAGAAAGUAGUACAUUAAACUAAGCCCAAGAUUUUUCAUAAAAUGUGUAUCGUUUAAAAAAAAAACCUACUCUUUAGUGUGUUGUUUUCCACAAGAUUGCACAAGUUUGCCGUUGCAUUCCAGGAACCUAAGCUAACUUCUCAUUGGACCCACUCCUGUGUUCUCGGCAACAUCAAGUAGAUGAUCAACGUGAGUUUCCUGGGAAAGCAUCUCUAACAAACAAAGACAAGAAUUCUCACACUCAGAGCAGUCUGCCAUGCUUUAUUCUCCUCUGGCAGCUUCCAACUUUAUGUUAAUAUAUAAAUGGCAACUGCUCAUUAUGUGUACACACAUCCAAGAGCACACGCGUUUAUUGUUGCUGUUCCCAAGGUGCACUUUUAAUGACAGUCUCAGACAUCAUGGCAGGAAAUGAAAGCUGAUUCCUGGGAGCAGGUGGGUAUUGUCCAUUACAAUUACAAUAGAGCCCCAUUGAAUAGCCUGCCCUUAGGCUGGUGGUGGGAAGAGAAAUAAUCCAGACGUUGCUUUGAUGUUCUUCAUGAUUUGCUAUCAGACACGAUUUGAUAGUUUACUGCAGAAAUGCAUAGGACAUUUUAUAUAGUCUUGUAAGCAACCUAGAAAACUUACAGCAAUCAUUUAAUCAGCAUUAAUUUUCAGCUCACUCCAGUAAUAAGACUUUAAGGGUAGGAAUCCAAAUGAGGCAACCCUAAAAUUAUCCAAAGACCAAAGAGAGCAGACUGGGAAACUUCUAAAUAUAAAGGGGGCAGGGGGGGAUGCUGAUUGUUUUCUCAUUGAACAGAACAGAAAAGAGUGAAGGAGAGGGAAAGAAGAGAAAGAACAACAGGAAGUAGAGCGAUGCUGACAAACAUGACGGAGGCACAGACAGCAAGCAAAGCAUCACAAGGUCCAGUGCAUCCUCCACUGGAGUGCUGGGUGUGUGUGUUUGCUGGCUUACAUGUCUUCAUGUCCUAAUGAAAUGUGGUGGCUUUCAGAUUAUUCUGACUCUUUUGUGACUUCCUGCAGAUGUAUGAUUCGAGUUUCAUUACAUAUCUGCUAUUUUUGCGAACCUAUAGAACACAAAAAAGUCUGAAGACUUCUCUUUUAACACCUACAGUUAUUUAAAAUACAAAACCUUAGGAAGUUUCCUCUGAGCAGUGUGACUUUGCAUCUGUUUACUAUGCUUACAAAAGCAGACCUCAGCACAAACAGUCAGGCAGAUGAGAAGAGGGGAAGAGGACGUUGAAGGAGCUACCCUAUGAGAAAGGAGCAGUGUUUCCUGGUUACCCAGGGAAAACUAAGGAAAUGCAGGACUGAGGUCUGCUGUCUAGCGCUUAUUCAUGUGGGCAUAUUAACAUUAAGUAUUAUCACAAGUGCCGCUGACGAAGGUAACUUUAGACUCCCGAGUGUCAUAUUAUUUCAAGUUCAUUUUCAGAUUAUAAUUGUUUUAUUGUAAAGAAUAUCCCAAAAUUAUAAUCAUUUCAGCAUAUAUAAUAUGCCAAAGUUGUAAAUCCUCUAAUGAAAGCAGCGAUAUAUGGUUUGUUUGUGUUUUAUUUCUGAGUCGUGUACUGUCUAAUUCGUUCGUUUCUUUGAUUGACACGAGCUAGGGUUAUCUGGCAAUAGGGAACUGCAAGGCUGUGAUACAUUUUUUUUAAAUGAGGAUGUGUUACGAAAGGGCCCAGCCUACCAAGAGGGAAAUCUCUUUUGGACUGGUUGUCAUGGCAUACAUAAGAAGGCAUGUGGAGCAAGCCACCGGGAGCAAGCCAAGUUCCUGUAAAGUCUCUCUGCUUUGGCUCAGCCUCCAGGUUCCCGGCCUGUGGUUUAAUCACCCCUUCCUUCCAUGAUGGACUACAGAUAUGAGCUCAAGUGAAAACCUCUCCUCACCAAGUUGCUUUUGGUCAUGGUGUUUGCCACAGCAAGAGACGGUAAACUAACGCAAGUCUCUCACAUCAUCUGCUGCAAACAAGGGGUACACUUGCUUCACAAGCAGAGGUCUAGCGCUUCCUACUCUGUUGUCUUCUCUCUUAGUCCCGGGAACGAAAGCAGAACAAAGCAAAACAAAAACUUCAUAAUAACCUAAAUACAGCCGUAAAUAACCUAAACAUCUUAAAUUAAGAGAAUCAGGAGGUUAUGGCGUAACAAGAAUGUUCCAUGGUCCCCCGCAUGCCCUCAAUGUGGCGUCUAUCAAUGGUGCUGUCUCCUAACGUCAUACAAGUGCGUGUUUUCAAAUAUGCUAAAUAUAACAGUUUAGAUAUAAGAAGAGGAGGUUCAGGGCUGAGACAAUGGCUAAGCAGAUGAAGACAUUCAUAGUCGAUCCUGAAGACCUGAGUUCAAUUCCUGGUAGCCACAAAAGGGACAGAGAGAACCUGUUCUCAUAAGGACACUUAUCCUACCCACUGGUGCCAUGGACUGUAAUUCCAAACAAAGAAGUGGAAGAAUAUAAUAGAAAAUAAGUUUCAGAGGUAACUAAACUUUAGUGCUGACAUGUAAUUGCCUUGGUUACUAUUAGUUUUAAGCAUAGUUGUAAGUAUUACAUUCUUUUUCACGAAUCAUGGUAUUUAAUUAUAAAACUCCCAAUAUAUGUUACAAAUGGAAAACACAUUCUGUCCUAUCAUCUGCAGUAUAGGACAUAUAUUUUAAAUAAAACUUGUAGUAUUAAACUUCUUUUCUUUUUUAAAUAUUUAAAUAUUGAUUUAUUAAUUUUUACUAGUGGAAUGUUUUGCCUUUGGGUGGGGCAUGGUUGUCCCUUGUGUCCCUGGUCCCUGUGAAGGUCAGAAGAGGGCAUCAGAUUCUUGGCAUCAAGGCUGGGCACUCUACAAGAGCAGUCAGUGCUCUUAUCCACUGAGCCAUCGCUGAAGAACUCAAAACGUCUACUUGUUUGAGAGAGAGAGAGAGAGAGAGAGAGAGAGAGAGAGAGAGAGAGAGACAGAGAGACAGAGACAGAGACAGAGAGACAGAGAGACAGAGAGACAGAGAGAAUGGAUGAGGGACACAGAGACAGAGAAACAGAGACAGAGAUGUAUAGAGACAAACAGAGACAGUAGUGUGGACUCCGAGUUCACAAGGGAAAGCCAGAAAACACCUUGCUAAAGUCCGCUUUCUGUCUAUCAUGUGGUUCUGGACAUCUAACAGAGGUGUUUGGGCUUAGAAACAAUCAUUUGUAUUCACUGUCCAUAUUGUUGGCCUUAAAGUUACCUUAUAACUAAUAUUUUCACUAAUACUUAGAAACUUACAUCAAAAUCUCUUGUGUGUGAAUUUAUCAUCAUAAUAUUACCAUCCAUCAAGGAUUAAAGGCCAUUCUCAGAAAUACUGUGUUAAAGGUUACUUAGAUCAUAUAGUACGGCUUUAAUUUCUAAUGUUUAAAAAGGCCGCUUUAAAUUUCACAAUAGCAAGAGCAAAUGUAUAGUAUAAAUGAAAUUAUAUAUGCCAAAACCCAACUGUAUCAGUCUGUACAUAAGUACUAUUAAACAGAUAAAGAGUAGAACAUAUUUUAUUGUAAAUGCUAAAAGCUAUUACAUUAAAUGAGAUAUCAAGACUGAUCAUCAAGUAAUAAAUGUAUUCAGGCUCAUCGACAUUUGGGGUGAAAGCAAACUCAGAAUUAAACCCUAUGGUGAAUCAUUCAUAAGACCACAAAAAUUGCAUUCAUUGGCUCGCACUGUGAAUCAACAGGAGAAAUAUUCCUAAGCCUGUUUUCCUCAAUAUACGCAGAUAACUAAUUGCUUGUGAUCUUGUAAUGCUCUACGUAGCUUCCUCAAGGAGCAAUCCUGAGCUUCCCCAGGGCUUCACUGAUCAUGUGUGGGCAAGGUAAACGGUGCUUGCUUUUUCCAAACAAGGCAGUAACAAUGGAGACAAGCAACUAAUGAUGGUGGGUAUAUGUCUUAUAACCAUAUAGAGGAUUCUUAAUCACCUACAGAUAGAUUAAAAGUUCAUCACUGUUAAAUGUGUAAAUUGACAUAACUAAUUAAGGAAAUGUCUUCAUAACAUUGUAUUAAAAAUAACAAUUUAAAGUAUUUUUGUCUGUAUAUUUCUGAAUUUUGAGUUUGCUUUGUUAACAAAAUGUGAAAUAUUUACAUAAGAACAGACACCCAUUAUUUAGCCAUUUGCUUGGUAUAAAACCCAGUGAACUAGAUAGUUGGGGGGAGGGCGGCA
ensembl:lncRNA